rnacentral:rRNA from 1 species
GAUGAACGCUGGCGGCGUGCCUAAUACAUGCAAGUCGAGCGAACAGACGAGGAGCUUGCUCCUCUGACGUUAGCGGCGGACGGGUGAGUAACACGUGGAUAACCUACCUAUAAGACUGGGAUAACUUCGGGAAACCGGAGCUAAUACCGGAUAAUAUAUUGAACCGCAUGGUUCAAUAGUGAAAGACGGUUUUGCUGUCACUUAUAGAUGGAUCCGCGCCGCAUUAGCUAGUUGGUAAGGUAACGGCUUACCAAGGCAACGAUGCGUAGCCGACCUGAGAGGGUGGUCGGCCACACUGGAACUGAGACACGGUCCAGACUCCUACGGGGGGCAGCAGUAGGGAAUCUUCCGCAAUGGGCGAAAUCCUGACGGAGCAACGCCGCGUGAGUGAUGAAGGUCUGCGGAUCGUAAAACUCUGUUAUUAGGGAAGAACAAAUGUGUAAGUAACUAUGCACGUCUUGACGGUACCUAAUCAGAAAGCCACGGCUAACUACGUG